UACGAAGGGGGCUAGCGUUGUUCGGAAUCACUGGGCGUAAAGGGCGCGUAGGCGGCUUUAUAAGUCGGGGGUGAAAGCCUGUGGCUCAACCACAGAAUUGCCUUCGAUACUGUAGGGCUUGAGACCGGAAGAGGUUAGUGGAACUGCGAGUGUAGAGGUGAAAUUCGUAGAUAUUCGCAAGAACACCAGUGGCGAAGGCGGCUAACUGGUCCGGUUCUGACGCUAAGGCGCGAAAGCGUGGGGAGCGAACAGG
rnacentral:rRNA from 1 species